rnacentral:rRNA from 1 species
GAAACACAAUUCAACGAAGAUGAAAUCAAAGCUGCCGUUUUUGAUCUGCAUGAUGAGAAGGCUCCGGGGCCAGACGGCUUCAUUGGCAAAAUUUUCAAACGCUUCUGGGACUUCAUAAGGGAGGAUCUGGUAGCCGCGGUGCAGCAACUAUAUUUCCUUAGGGGGGGUAAUUGGAAACUGCUUAACUCUGCCCACAUUGUCCUUCUGCCAAAGGUUACGGCUUCCAUUCACGCCUCUGACUACAGACCUGUGAGUCUGCUACACAGUUUUGCAAAGAUUUUCUGUAAGCUAGUUGCAAAUCGGUUGGGACCGGAGCUGCAACGACUAAUAUCCUGCACCCAAAGCGCAUUCAUCCGUGGAAGAUCUAUUCAGGAUAACUUCCUCUAUGUUAAGAAUACCAUCAGAGAUGCACAUAAGAGAAAGAUUCCACUGGUGUUCCUGAAACUUGACUUUGCCAAGGCUUUUGAUACAGUUAGUUGGCCAUACCUGAUUGAUGUUAUGAAGGCGUAUGGUUUCGAGCAAAGAUGGAGAGAUAUC